ACUGGGGAAAAGGAACAAUGGUGACCAUCGCGUCAGCCACCUCAACUGCACCAACUGUGUUUCCUCUGUUACAAUGUGAUUCUGGUACUGGAAACAUGGUCACUGUUGGCUGUCUUGCCACCGGCUUCACACCCUCCUCACUGAUCUUCUCAUGGAGCAAAAAUGGGGCAGCCUUGACAGACUUCAUUCAGUAUCCUGCAGUACAGAAGGGCAACGCUUACACGGGAGUCAGUCAAAUCCAAGUGAGGAGACAGGACUGGGUAGCGAGGCAGCCUUUCCAAUGUGCCGUGGCACAUCCAGCAGGAAACACACAUGUUGUUAUCGUGCCACCACCACCCGUGAUUGUUAAGUUGCCAACACUGAGAGUGUUGGGCUCCUCUGAUGAUGAAAACGAGGCUUCCUUCUCCUGCUUUGCCGAAGAUUUCUCACCUAAACAUUAUGACAUCAAAUGGCUGAAAAAUGAUGAGGACAUCUCCAACAAAUUAUACGAGAUCAAAACACCUUCUCAGGACAGAAAGGAUGAGAAUGGAACGAAACUGUACAGUGUUGCAAGUUUUCUCAGAGUGCCGUCCAGUGAUUGGAGACAGGAUGGCACGACUUUUACAUGUCAGUUUCAGGGGAAAGAUGAAAAAAACAUGCCAACUUUCAAGAAUUCAUCUGUGACCUACAAACAUCAUGAUACAUGUGGCAACUGUGCUGAAGCAGAUGUGGACAUAAAGAUCAUUGGUCCGACACUGGACGACAUGUUUUUAAACAGGAAAGGACAGAUAGUUUGUCGAGUCCAGGUAAACAAGCCAUCUCUCGAGAAGAUUUUGUGGGAAGACGAACAUGGAAACGAGAUGGUUGGCUCCUCAACAACGCCCGUUAAAGAAAAUUCAAACACAUAUAAACUUUCACUUGACAUCUCGUAUGAUGAAUGGAGCCAGGGGAUAAAGCGCGUCUGCAUUGUUGAACAUACAGACUGGAUUGUGCCAUUUAAGAAACCUUAUGAAAGGAAUAUCGGAGGACAGACUCAGCGUCCUUCAGUGUUUAUGCUGCCUCCAGUAGAACAUACUAGAAAAGACAUGGUGACCCUGACUUGCUAUGUGAAAGACUUCUUUCCUCAGGAGGUUUUUGUGUCUUGGCUUGUUGAUGACGAGGAAGUAGACUCAAGCUAUGAGUUCCACACCACAAACCCUUUAGCAAACCAUGGAUCCUAUUCUGCUUAUGGCCAGUUGUUGCUCAGCCUUGAGCAGUGGCGAAAGAAUGACGUGGUGUACAGCUGUGCAGUUCACCACGAGUCUUUGGCUAACACGACUAAAGCUAUUAUCAGGUCCAUCGAGCACAGAACAUAUGAAAAAACCAACCUGGUCAACCUCAACAUGAACAUCCCUGAAACGUGCAAGGCCCAGUAGAUGUUAUUUUGUGUCGCUGUGUCUUCUGCUCUUUGUUGUUGAAUGUUUGUUGCUUGUGAUGUGACAUCGUGUUCGUCUUUUUAAUGCAGAUUCAAAAUCAAAAUAAAAAAAAGCACUUUGCAACUCUGC